rnacentral:rRNA from 1 species
GAAGGUGGCCUGUGAGGGUUGCUGGAGGUAUCAGAAGUGCGAAUGCUGACAUAAGUAACGAUAAAGCGGGUGAAAAGCCCGCUCGCCGGAAGACCAAGGGUUCCUGUCCAACGUUAAUCGGGGCAGGGUGAGUCGACCCCUAAGGCGAGGCCGAAAGGCGUAGUCGAUGGGAAACGGGUUAAUAUUCCCGUACUUGGUGUUACUGCGAAGGGGGGACGGAGAAGGCUAUGUUGGCCGGGCGACGGUUGUCCCGGUUUAAGCGUGUAGGCUGGUUUUCCAGGCAAAUCCGGAAAAUCAAGGCUGAGGCGUGAUGACGAGGCACUACGGUGCUGAAGCAACAAAUGCCCUGCUUCCAGGAAAAGCCUCUAAGCAUCAGGUAACAUCAAAUCGUACCCCAAACCGACACAGGUGGUCAGGUAGAGAAUACCAAGGCGCUUGAGAGAACUCGGGUGAAGGAACUAGGCAAAAUGGUGCCGUAACUUCGGGAGAAGGCACGCUGACACGUAGGUGAAGUGAUUUACUCAUGGAGCUGAAGUCAGUCGAAGAUACCAGCUGGCUGCAACUGUUUAUUAAAAACACAGCACUGUGCAAACACGAAAGUGGACGUAUACGGUGUGACGCCUGCCCGGUGCCGGAAGGUUAAUUGAUGGGGUCAGCGCAAGCGAAGCUCCUGAUCGAAGCCCCGGUAAACGGCGGCCGUAACUAUAACGGUCCUAAGGUAGCGAAAUUCCUUGUCGGGUAAGUUCCGACCUGCACGAAUGGCGUAAUGAUGGCCAGGCUGUCUCCACCCGAGACUCAGUGAAAUUGAACUCGCUGUGAAGAUGCAGUGUACCCGCGGCAAGACGGAAAGACCCCGUGAACCUUUACUAUAGCUUGACACUGAACAUUGAGCCUUGAUGUGUAGGAUAGGUGGGAGGCUUUGAAGUGUGGACGCCAGUCUGCAUGGAGCCGACCUUGAAAUACCACCCUUUAAUGUUUGAUGUUCUAACGUGGACCCGUAAUCCGGGUUGCGGACAGUGUCUGGUGGGUAGUUUGACUGGGGCGGUCUCCUCCUAAAGAGUAACGGAGGAGCACGAAGGUUGGCUAAUCCUGGUCGGACAUCAGGAGGUUAGUGCAAUGGCAUAAGCCAGCUUGACUGCGAGCGUGACGGCGCGAGCAGGUGCGAAAGCAGGUCAUAGUGAUCCGGUGGUUCUGAAUGGAAGGGCCAUCGCUCAACGGAUAAAAGGUACUCCGGGGAUAACAGGCUGAUACCGCCCAAGAGUUCAUAUCGACGGCGGUGUUUGGCACCUCGAUGUCGGCUCAUCACAUCCUGGGGCUGAAGUAGGUCCCAAGGGUAUGGCUGUUCGCCAUUUAAAGUGGUACGCGAGCUGGGUUUAGAACGUCGUGAGACAGUUCGGUCCCUAUCUGCCGUGGGCGCUGGAGAACUGAGGGGGGCUGCUCCUAGUACGAGAGGACCGGAGUGGACGCAUCACUGGUGUUCGGGUUGUCAUGCCAAUGGCACUGCCCGGUAGCUAAAUGCGGAAGAGAUAAGUGCUGAAAGCAUCUAAGCACGAAACUUGCCCCGAGAUGAGUUCUCCCUGAGACUUAGAGUCUCCUGAAGGAACGUUGAAGACGACGACGUUGAUAGGCCGGGUGUGUAAGCGCAGCGAUGCGUUGAGCUAACCGGUACUAAUGAACCGUGAGGCUUAACCUUACAACGCC